UACGGGGGGGGCAAGCGUUGUUCGGAAUUACUGGGCGUAAAGGGCUCGUAGGCGGCCAACUAAGUCGGACGUGAAAUCCCCAGGCUCAACCUGGGAACUGCGUCCGAUACUGGAUGGCUUGAAUCCGGGAGAGGGAUGCAGAAUUCCAGGUGUAGCGGUGAAAUGCGUAGAUAUCUGGAGGAAUACCGGUGGCGAAGGCGGCAUCCUGGACCGGCAUUGACGCUGAGGAGCGGAAGCCAGGGGAGCAAACGGG
rnacentral:rRNA from 1 species